rnacentral:tRNA from 1 species
CCAUAGCUCAGUCGGUAGAGUGCUACCUUGGUAAGGUAGAGGUCACGGGUUCAAUUCCCGUUGG